rnacentral:rRNA from 1 species
AGCGGCGGACGGGUGCGUAACGCGUAGGAACGUGUCUAGAGGUGGGGGACAACCCUGGGAAACUGGGGCUAAUACCGCAUAUGGGCUGAGGCCCAAAGCCGUGAGGCGCCUUUGGAGCGGCCUGCGUCCGAUUAGCUAGUUGGUGGGGUAAAGGCCUACCAAGGCUCCGAUCGGUAGCUGGUCUGAGAGGACGAUCAGCCACACUGGGACCGAGACACGGCCCAGACUCCUACGGGAGGCAGCAGUGGGGAAUAUUGGACAAUGGGCGCAAGCCUGAUCCAGCAAUGCCGCGUGGGUGAAGAAGGUCUUCGGAUCGUAAAGCCCUUUCGACAGGGACGAUGAUGACGGUACCUGUAGAAGAAGCCCCGGCUAACUUCGUGCCAGCAGCCGCGGUAAUACGAAGGGGGCUAGCGUUGCUCGGAAUUACUGGGCGUAAAGGGCGCGUAGGCGGCUUAGUCAGUCAGGCGUGAAAUUCCUGGGCUUAACCUGGGGUCUGCGUUUGAGACGGCUAGGCUAGAGGGUAGGAGAGGGUCGUGGAAUUCCCAGUGUAGAGGUGAAAUUCGUAGAUAUUGGGAAGAACACCGGUGGCGAAGGCGGCGACCUGGCCUAUUACUGACGCUGAGGCGCGACAGCGUGGGGAGCAAACAGGAUUAGAUACCCUGGUAGUCCACGCCGUAAACGAUGUGCGCUGGA